CUCCUACUUUCAGUGUCCUCCAUCUCUCUGCGUUCUCUCAUUUUCUUAUAUUAAAGACAUCCUGACUCCCAGACUCUGGUGGUUCCGUCGCCAUCUGUUAUUCCUGUGAUCUCUACAGAAGCUGUUGGAGAGUGAAGCAGCACAGCGCUGACCUUAUAUAAAGACAGACCAGACCCCACCUUUGUCCCCAAGUCCAUGGAAGCCAAGGCCAAGUCCGCAGCUCCAGCGCCCAAGGCAGCAUCUAAAGCUGAGAAGAAGGAGCCGGCACCAGUCCGCAAGGCCGACCCUGCACCUGCACCUGCAGCCCCCGAGCCUGAGCCUGAGCUUCCUCCUGCUCAGGAUGGAGCACCAGAGGCUGACGCCGCAGCAGCAGGUGAUGAGGGUGCGGCCUCUGGCACAGACACUCUGGAACACCUGAAACCCUUUCUCAUCGGUGGUGCCGUCAUUGCUGCAGCAGCCAUCUUGCUGGGAGCGCUGCUACUGGCGAGGAGAAAUUAGUGUUGUUGAUGGUUCACAGACUACAUGGUACAUAUGGGGGAUGGGGAGCCACUGUGCAAAUUACAUAUUUUUUCCUGUCUUGGCCUGCUUUCAAUCGUAGUGAAUCGAACAAUUCAAGUUUGAUCAAGGCUGUAUAUGGAGCAUAGUUUGAUAUAGCAUAUGCAUGUCAUUGCUUCAAAUCUGCAUCUGAACUGUAAUUAUUUAUUUCUUAAGAAUAAAAAUCACACUGUAUUGAGCUAAAGAACAAAAACUCUCUACAGGUAGCUUAUGCACCUGCUUUAUUUUGUUUAAUCCUGUUUAGACAAAUAUUGAUAUAAUCGUGCAAUAUUUGAACAUUCUUGCACCGGAAAUGAACUUGGUUAACUUUGGUAAAAGAUCAUGAAAAACUGUUGAAACGCUCAGAUAUUAAUUCUGACCAUCAGAGUUGAUCGAUGAGAGACAGAGAGAAAAAACAACCAUGAAACAACUGGGAAUAUCCAUUGUGAGGAUUUGCACAUAUUGAGGCUAAAUCAUUGCCUAACUAUUUCUUCAGAAUACUUGGAGUAAGACAAUUUUCCUGCAAAUCCCCAAAAAAUGUAAAAUGGAGAAUGGCCCACUGCAAUUCAAAGAAAUAACAAUUAUAUAUAAGCAUGCAGUGGUAUAAGAAGUGGAUAUAGGGAGUUCUUGGAUAUAUUAUAUCAAGUACAGUAUGUGGCACGAACGAAUGGUGGAGUUACUCUUGCUGUAGAAUAAGAAACCGUUUGAGUUUACUGUAAUGUCUGAAAUCAAUAACCUUUUAUGUCUUACACAAUAGCCACAGUUGUGCUGGUUCAAUUUGUAAACAUCUCACAGUAGAUACUUAGCUGUAGCAGCCAUUCGUGUGGAGGUAUCAGGAUUUAAACCUGCUGCCAACAUGAGAGUUGUUUCUGGUUUCACUGUUCUCCCCCAGUGUGGCUUUAGGAAAAUAAUCUUGAUUUCAAAACCUCAUUAAUACCAAGGUACAACUUUCAUGGGAUGAACGUAUACUACAUAUUUAAUAAUGUCAAAGAAGUGUAGAUGAACUACUGUUGUAUAGUCUACUCAAAAGAAAAUAUCAAGCAGUCACAGUUUUCCUACUGCGUCCACUUGCCUGCACAUCUGUAAACACUGUUGUCCACUCACAUGUAAAGUUCAUGGGGAAUCUUCUGCUGCAUAAGUAGAUAGUUACAAGACAAUUCUAGCACAUAUCCUUACCUGAUUUUAGUUGUGAGGGAACCACAUAUAUUAUACAAACAUACCACAUUCACCACAGUCAACACCCCAGAUACAUCCAAAAGAUAGUAUGCCAACACCGACAAAAA